UGUGUGUCUGAAUACCACAGAGUUCUCAGAGGAACACCAUGCAGUGGACACCAGUAGAAGUACGACUGAGCAUAAAAGGCCAAGGGUCGACUUUGACCCAAGAGAACAAUCCAGACUAAGAAUUUGCAAAAGAUUGAACCCCUGGUCUAUGAUUAGUAGAUGUGGGAGAGGUGAGCGUGUAUCAGAUCCCCCUGCUGUUCUUCACCCCAUGGUGCAGUCUGCUGACCAUCGCUGAGGCCAGGAAGAAGUCCGCCAGCCGAAGUAAAAGUCAAGUUCAUCACCAUGCAAUGCUCUAUUGACCGAGGUGCCAUGUCGUCUCCCAUCUACUUCAUAGUGGCCUCAGCUGGACUCCACCGCAUAACCUCUUGGUCUAGCCAGAUUAAUCAAGAGCUUCAAUCCGGGCCGGCUUUGGUUUCCAGGAGUGCGACAGGAGUCCAUGUGGAGUGAGCAUGUAGAAAGAUCCGUUCCAAAACUUCUCUCAUGUUGCUGGUAUACUGGAUGACAAAUGGACAAGACAUAAUGGGUGGUAAAGGUGGUGGCGGCUCAGGUGAGACAUUGAAAUUGGGACAUUAUCAUGGGCCAUCCACUUCGAACUAUGAAGCUAUCUGAAGAAGACAAUGAAGAGACGCCAGAAGAUUGAGUGCCGGGGACGGAAGGGGUUGGUCAACUGUGCCCGUAAAUUAUUUUGAUUGUCUAAAAAUGUUUAUUUGGGUUAUCAAGUUGAUUGUAGAGGUCUAUACAAUGCUACAUUUACAGUAAUUUAGAUUAAGAAUGCAUUACGAUACACUUUGAAGUUUGUGGAAAUGUGAAAUUAAUGUAGGAGAAAAUAACUCAUUAGACCUGGUAAAAGAUAAUCAACAACAAAAAAUACAUGCAUUUUCACAUUUCUUGUGUGCCAUCAUUUUGAAAUGCAAGAGAAAGGCCAUUUAUAUGACUUAGGACUCAAGACGCAAUUUACAUUUUGGCCACUAGAUGGCAGCAGUGUAUGUGAAAAGUCUUAGACUGAUCCAAUGAACCAUUGCAUUACUGUUCAAAAUGUUGUCAAGUCUGCCCAAAUGUGCCGAAUUGGUCAAUUGAUACAUUUAAGUACAUAACUACAGAGAACAUACAAUUUGUAUUACCAUAUCAUUUUUGAAAGUUUACACACUCCCAGGAAUGUCAUAAAUGAUGGAUAAUUAACUUCCCUACAGAAAAGACACUAACCUCCACACAUCUAGAUGGGGGGGCAGACAGCAGGGGUUCAAAUUAUAGAAACCAGUUCCUACAUUUGAA
rnacentral:lncRNA from 1 species